rnacentral:lncRNA from 1 species
CAAUCCGCGCCCUUCCCCCCCCACCUCUGCCUAGCCUAAGCCACGCCUUCUUCUCUUGGCUUAUGUGAGUUCAGCCGCUUUUCACAACUUUGAGGAACAAACGUUUGUACAGGAUUCUGCUGAUAGACGAAGAAGAGGAGGAGAAUAAUAAAAGAGAGAUGAAGAAUCGUCUGCUUCAUCCCCCUUCAGUGGGAUCAGUGUGCUUGCGGUGUUGAAUGGAAGGGAUGAUUGUAAAGAUGGAGUCCUGUGUUUACCAGAGGAGGCUGGUGAGGGGAGGACGGCUCAUAAUAAAGACUGGAACCGAGAGAAUGGAAUGCCAUCGAACACAUAUAUCCUCCAGGAGGUUUUAACUCCAACCCUGUUCCUGGAGAGAUACCCUCCAGGAGGAUUUAACUCCAACCCUGUUCCUGGAGAAACAGAGUAGAGAGCUGGUUGAACUAACUAAACUGGUAGAAACAGUAGAGAGCUGGUUGUAUAGACUGUAAACGGGUCCAAUGUAUUGCAUGCUGGGACAAGCCAUUUAAUAACUGGUGAGGAUGAUGAGGAUGACGAUGUUGUUACAGAUGUACGUAAGCUUCUGUUGUGAUCUUUCUUAUAUUAUGUAUGUUAUACCUGUCAGAUGUCAAUAAACACUUUUCUCCGUCGCUCGUCAAUAAACUGUCCAGUGAUUGGUUCAGUCACAGAC